rnacentral:rRNA from 1 species
GGUGACUUCAAUGAAAUACUGCAUGCUCAUGAGAAAGAAGGGGGGGCUGCACGCCCCCAACGCUGUAUGCAGGCCUUUAGCAGUGCAUUAAGUGACUGCGGGCUUGAUGAUCUUGGUUACUCUGGAGAUAUUUUUACUUGGCGAAGAGGACGCAUAAGAGAGCGCUUGGACAGGGCUGUCUCGAGUGGCACGUGGGCAGACUUGUUUCCAUCUUAUGGUGUGUCGAACGAGCCUUUUAACAAGUCGGAUCACCGACCAAUUUUG